UACGGAGGGUGCUAGCGUUGUUCGGAAUCACUGGGCGUAAAGGGCGUGUAGGCGGCCUGCUAAGUCUGAUGUGAAAUCCCCUCGCUCAACGAGGGAACUGCGUCGGAUACUGGCAGACUCGAGUACCGGAGAGGAAGGUGGAAUUCCCGAAGUAGAGGUGAAAUUCGUAGAUAUCGGGAGGAACACCGGUGGCGAAGGCGACCAUCUGGACGGAUACUGACGCUGAGACGCGAAAGCGUGGGGAGCAAACAGG
rnacentral:rRNA from 1 species